rnacentral:rRNA from 1 species
GAUGAACGCUGGCGGCGUGCCUAAUACAUGCAAGUCGAGCGAACAGACGAGGAGCUUGCUCCUCUGACGUUAGCGGCGGACGGGUGAGUAACACGUGGAUAACCUACCUAUAAGACUGGGAUAACUUCGGGAAACCGGAGCUAAUACCGGAUAAUAUAUUGAACCGCAUGGUUCAAUAGUGAAAGACGGUUUUGCUGUCACUUAUAGAUGUAUCCGCGCCGCAUUAGCUAGUUGGUAAGGUAACGGCUUACCAAGGCAACGAUGCGUAGCCGACCUGAGAGAGUGAUCGGCCACACUGGAACUGAGACACGGUCCAGACUCCUACGGGAGGCAGCAGUAGGGAAUCUUCCGCAAUGGGCGAAAGCUUGACGGAGCAACGCCGCGUGAGUGAUGAAGGUCUUCGGAUCGUAAAACUCUGUUAUUAGGGAAGAACAAAUGUGUAAGUAACUAUGCACGUCUUGACGGUACCUAAUCAGAAAGCCACGGCUAACUACGUG